CCCACAUUACCCUUCUCCCUCUACCCAACUUUGUCUUGCAGGGACCGGCCAGGCUCCAGGACACAGGCAGGGCAGCGGCCCCCGGGGCAGCGGCUCUUCCCGGCACCCACGUUGUGUCCGGGGCCCCGACCCACGGGCAAAGGACACGUGCCUUUCCCCUAGGUUGUUUUAAAUACUCGGGACGAGGAAGUUUUCCGUGCAAAUGCCCCCGCUUCGCUGUGCUGCAGUUAAAGGACGGGAGAUCCUCUCGGCCGGCUGGCGACGCGCGUUGUGCUGCCUCCAGCCACAUUUAUGCCCACUCGGGGUUUCUAGUGCAAGGAUCUGUCGUUUGCACUAUGCGUGUACGGGCUGCAAAUGUGUCUAAUCUGGGAAGCCGAGGCCGGGGCAUUUGAAAUGAAAACGUCCAGUUAGCCUCAAGGGUCUCUCUCUCUCUCUCUAAAGGGAGAGCCAGAGCCCGGAGGGCAGCGCGCAGCACAGCAAAAGCUGGGAUUGCUAUCAGGAGGUGCCAAUCAAUCCUUCUUUUCAAUACAUCAAUUAAUAAGUGAGACUGGGGGUGAGGGCUGCGCCCCCCCCCCCACCGCGGCACCUCUCUGGGCGGGGGGGGGGGGAAGGGGGCGAGCUGAAGUUCAGAGGAAAGUGUCCUCAAGCAGCACUACACCGGCAUCCAGAGCUGAGCAGACAGAUCCCGAGUGCAGAAAUAAGUGCAAUGCUCACUCCCAGCACAGCCAGGAUCCAGGCCCAGGGAGGCAGCCCGGGGCAGGCGAAGUUUCGGGGCGGCCGUGGUGUAGAUACGGAGGGACAGCGACGCUGGUAGGAGCCCCCCGGGACCGGCUCUGGGGCUCCCGCGUGGCAACACCAACACCGCAUAGUGGAUGCACGGGUGGGAAAUAUUUGUGCAUGGAUAUGUGCGCAGCCACAUGCAUGCACGUGUGUGCGCGCACAUACACAUGCCGAGGACCGGGGCCUGCAAUCCCCCGCGCUUUACAUUUCGUCUGCACUUACUUAAACUACACCCCCUCCCUGCCCCCACCCCACGCGGCUCUAACCCGGGGAAUAAACAUCAUCAUUUUGGUUCUGAACUGCCGCCCGACGUUUUGCGUUUCUCAUAAUUAAAAGGGGCCAGGAUGGUGCAAAACUCCGCCAAUCUGGCGAUCCACGCUAGCGCAGUUGCUUUCUUUGCUGUAGAUCUGCUCUCCACAUACACAGAGGGGGGAGGCGGAGGGCUUUUAUUAGUAGUAUUAUUAUUUAAAGAAAGAAAGAAAGAAACGGGCAAACCUAGAGCAUAAUGGAUUGUGUCGCAGGGGCUCGAUGAUCGCUUUCUAAUUUAGCAAUGACAUCAAUUCUCCUUUCUUUUAAGUGACGCUGAUAAUGCAAAACAAUACAAAUGUUGUGAAUAUUUGUGUAGCUCUAGGAAGCCCCGGGAAGUUCCCAGCCGAGCUGGCUGCCCGUUUGGUGAAGGAUGGCGGAGCUGGGACAGUCGCAGUACAAGUAUAAUAUUGCAGUGUCAGGAGGACCUUGGCUGACAGCCCAGCAGUGUGGGACAUGUUUGUAGAAGAUGAAGCAGAAGAGAUGACAUGAAAGUUAUUUUUGUCUAUCAGCUGAAGCAUUAUAGAGACAUCAACAAGCUCUUGUCUCAUGCCAGCUUAAUUCCUAGUUAAUCAGCAGUCUGCUUGGGCAAAGGAAGAAAUUCACGUUGGGGCUGCUGAUGAGCCAAACUUCCCGGCGAGGAUUUGGGAGCCUGAGGGAGUCCUGAUCGCUGGUUUAAUGCUAGCUUGGAUGUGCUGCUGCUCGCAGUGUGCAGCGUCCCUGGAAGAGUUACAUGCCUUUCUGCGACAAUGAUUCCAUAGCUGCCACAAUUGCAUUCAGCCUUGAGGUCACAAGCAGCUUUUGAGACCUCUCUGAGAUCUUCCCCAACUAAGCAGGUCCCUCAGGUUGAAUGACUGGGGAGCAGAUCCCAGGACCACUCUGGGGAAUACUGAAGAGCCAGACCAUCUGUGGGGCAACAACUAGGAUCCUUCAUUUUCAAGGAAGGAAAGAAGGUGUCUGGCCCUGGUUUCCUUCUCCCUCUUCAUGUACUGAAGAUGAUUUGGUUCCACAUUGCAAUGGAUGCUGUGGUGGGAUAGGACUUUGCUACAGCUCCUUCUCCAUUUUAAAAAAAAUAUUUUUCCUUCUACCACCUUGUCUUUUUUUGCCUUGAGGAUGUUGUCAAUAAAAAGUACAAUGUGUAAUGCUU